ACGUAGGAGGCGAGCGUUAUCCGGAUUUACUGGGCGUAAAGCGCGUGCAGGCGGUUUGGAAAGUUGGAUGUGAAAGCUCCUGGCUUAACUGGGAGAGGUCGUUCAAAACUACCAGACUAGAGAGUGGUAGAGGAAGGCGGAAUUCCGGGUGUAGUGGUGAAAUGCGUAGAUAUCCGGAGGAACACCAGUGGCGAAAGCGGCCUUCUGGACCACUUCUGACGCUCAGACGCGAAAGCUAGGGUAGCAAACGG
rnacentral:rRNA from 1 species